GCCUAAUACAUGCAAGUCGAAUGAGAAGCUUGCUUCUCGAUGGGCGAACGGGUGAGUAACACGUAGGUAACCUGCCUUACACUCGAGGAUAACCGUUGGAAACGACGGAUAAUACUGGAUAGGACAAAGAUUCGCAUGAAUCGUUGUUUAAAAAGCAAUGGGUGUAUGAGGGGCCUGCGGUGCAUUAGCUAGUUGGUGAGGUAACGGCUCACCAAGGCGAUGAUGCAUAGCUGGACUGAGAGGUUGAACAGCCACAAUGGGACUGAGAACGGCCCAUACUCCUACGGGAGGCAGCAGUAGGGAAUUUUCGGCAAUGGGGGGAAAAACCCCUGACCGAGCAAUGCCGCGUGAACGAUGAAGUAUUUCGGUAUGUAAAGUUCUUUUAUUAGGAAAGAUAGUGACGGUACCUAAUGAAUAAGCUCCGGCUAACUACGUGCCAGCCGCCGC
rnacentral:rRNA from 1 species